rnacentral:rRNA from 1 species
GACAGAGGUGCCGAGCGUUAGGCGGAAUCACUGGGCUUAAAGCGUGUGUAGGCGGGCCGUUAGGUGUCUUGCGAAAUCCCCCGGCUCAACCGGGGAAUUGCUGGGCAUACUGGCGGUCUUGAGCAAUCUAGGGGCAGAUGGAACAAGUGGUGGAGCGGUGAAAUGCGUAGAUAUCACUUGGAACGCCAAAGGUGAAGACAGUCUGCUGGGGAUUUGCUGACGCUGAGACACGAAAGCCAGGGGAGCGAACGGG